CCUACGGGAGGCAGCAGUGAGGAAUAUUGGUCAAUGGGCGCGAGCCUGAACCAGCCAAGUAGCGUGAAGGAUGACUGCCCUACGGGUUGUAAACUUCUUUUAUAAAGGAAUAAAGUGAGGCACGUGUGCCUUUUUGUAUGUACUUUAUGAAUUAGGAUCGGCUAACUCCGUGCCAGAAGCCGCGGUAAUAGGGGGGAUCCGAGAGUUAUCCGGAUUUAGUGGGUUUAAAGGGAGCGUUGGCGGAGGGUUAAGUCAGUGGUGAAAUUGAGGGGCUCAACCCCUGCCCGCCCUUGAAACUGGCGCUCUUGAGUGGAAGAGAAGUAUGCGGAAUGCGUGGUGUAGCGGUGAAAUGCAUAGAUAUCACGCAGAACCCCGAUUGCGAAGGCAGCAUGCCGGCUUCCGACUGACGCUGAAGCACGAAAGCGUGGGGAUCGAACAGGAUUAGAUACCCCUGUAGUC
rnacentral:rRNA from 1 species